rnacentral:rRNA from 1 species
UUAGAUACCCUGGUAGUCCGCACCGUAAACGAUGAAUACUCGUGUCCCGCGAUAUAUUGUGGGACACUUAGCGAAAGCGUUAAGUAUUCCACCUGGGGAGUACGCCGGCAACGGUGAAACUCAAAGGAAUUGACGGGGGCCCGCACAAGCGGAGGAACAUGUGGUUUAAUUCGAUGAUACGCGAGGAACCUUACCCGGGCUUGAAAUGUGCAGGACUCAGGCAGAGACGCCUGUUUCUUCGGACCUGCAUGUAGGUGCUGCAUGGUUGUCGUCAGCUCGUGCCGUGAGGUGUCGGCUUAAGUGCCAUAACGAGCGCAACCCUUCUCCCCGUUUGCCAUCAGUUAAUGCUGGGCACUCCGGGGACACUGCCAUCGUAAGAUGUGAGGAAGGUGGGGAUGACGUCAAAUCAGCACGGCCCUUACGUCCGGGGCUACACACGUGUUACAAUGGGGGGUACAGAGGGCCGCUAUCCCGCGAGGGUGCGCCAAUCCUCAAAACCUCUCUCAGUUCGGACUGGAGUCUGCAACCCGACUCCACGAAGCUGGAUUCGCUAGUAAUCGCGCAUCAGCCAUGGCGCGGUGAAUACGUUCCCGGGCCUUGUACACACCGCCCGUCAAGCCAUGAAGCCCGGGGGUGCCCUGAAGCCCGUACCGCGAAGGUCGGCCUAAGGCAAUACCGGUGAUUGGGGCUAAGUCGUAACAAGUAAACCA